CCUACGGGUGGCUGCAGUCGAGAAUCAUUCACAAUGGGGGAAACCCUGAUGCUGCGACGCCGCGUGGGGGAAUGAAGGUCUUCGGAUUGUAAACCCCUGUCAUGUGGGAGCAAAUUAAAAAGAUAGUACCACAAGAGGAAGAGCCGGCUAACUCUGUGCCACCAGCCGCGGUAAUACAGCGGGAUCAAGCGGUGUUCGGAAUCACUGGGCGUAAAGCGUGCGUAGGCGGGUUCGUAAGUCGGGUGUGAAAGGUGCGGGCUCAACCCGCGGAGGGCACUUGAUACUGGGAGAUUAGAGUAGUGGAGAGGUAGGCGGAAUUCUCGGUGUAGCGGUGAAAUGCGUAGAUAUCGAGAGGAACACUGGUGGCGAAGGCGGGUUACUGGACAUUGACUGACGCUGAGGCACGAAGGCGAGGGGAGCGAAAAGGAUUAGAUACCCUAGUAGUC
rnacentral:rRNA from 1 species